GACGAACGCUGGCGGCGUGCUUAACACAUGCAAGUCGAACGGAAAGGCCCUGCUUGCAGUGUACUCGCGUUGCGAACGGGUGAGUAACACGCGGGUGAUCUGCCCUCCACUUCGGGUUAAGCCUGGGCAACUGGGUCUAACACCGGAUAGGUGCCAUUUUUAGUGGGAUGGUUGGAAAGUUUUUUCGGUGUUGGCUGAGCUCGCGGCCUAUCUGCUUGUUGGUGGGGUGAUGGGCUACCGAGGCGGCGACGGGUAGCCGGACUGCGGGGGUGGACGGCGACAUUGGGACUGAGGUGCGGCCCAGACACCGACGGGAGGCAGAAGUGGGGAAGCUUGCACAAGGGGCGCAAGGCGGAUGAUGCGAGGCCGCGUGGCGGAUGACGGCCUUCGGGUUGAAAACUACAUUCGCUAGGGACGAAGCUUGUUUUGACGGUACCUAGAUAAGAAGCACCGGCUAACUACGUG
rnacentral:rRNA from 1 species